GCCUGGGUGGCUCAGUCGGUUAAGCGUCUGACUUCAGCUCAGGUGAUGAUUUCACAGUUUGUGGGUUCAAGUCCUGCAUCAGGCU
rnacentral:tRNA from 1 species